rnacentral:lncRNA from 1 species
AGCUGGGACCAAUGAGUGGGAGGUGGAUUUUGGCGGAACACAGGAGGAAUUCUCUUAGUCAGAGCCAUCCAAAAAUGGAAAGACCUGACUCAGAAGACAGCGUGUCCCCUGCCUGCAUAAGGUCCUGGUGAGGUCCUGUCAAGGGUGCUCUGCCCUGUGCUUUGACAGUUUCAGGAAUCUGUCCCAGAUUUCUCCCUGGGCUGAGUUCUUGCCUUGGUCACCUGCCCAGGACUGCAGUUUCUCUGAUACCACCUCAGGGGAGGGGCAGGACCUAGACCCUCAGAAUCUGGCCUUGAAGCCUGGAUACAUCUGGGGAGCUGCUCACGCUUCUCAGCUGCAUUUGCCUUGGUUGAGGAUGGGAAGAAGAUGCCUCCUUCCAAAGAUUGCCGUGAAGAUGGCGAUGCGAUAAUGUGAAAUCGCUGUGCGCGCGGCUGGACUCUAUCAAUCAUGGUUGUCUUCCCACCUUUGCCACAGACUGAAGGUCCCUUCCUGAGCUCAGCCUGUUGGCAUUCAGUCCCUGGGGCUGAACCUGGGCGAGCCAGGUGCCUCCUGCAAAAAGAGACAGUUCAACAAAGUGCAAGGAGGAAAGCUCUUCUGUACCACCAUGCCCUGUGGAGGGUACCGUGUGCAAGGACUAUCAGAGAGGUUCAGGACUGCCCUUCGGUUGAGCUCAGUGACUCUUUGUUCUUUGUUUUGUUUUGUUUAGUUUUUUGAGACAGGGUCUCACUCUUGCCCAGGCUACAGUGCAGUGGUGUGAUCUCGGCUCACUGCAACCUCUGCCUCCCAGGUUCAAGCCAUUCUCCUGUCUCAGUCUCCUGAGUAGCUGGGAUUACAGGCAUGCGCUACAACACUUGGCUAAUUUUUGUAUUUUUAGUAGAGACGGGGUUUCGCCAUAUUGACCAGGCUGGUCUCGAACUCCUGACCUCAGGUGAUCCGCCCACCUCGGCCUCCCAAAGUGCUGGGAUUACAGGCAUGAGCCACCAGGCCUGGCCUCAGCGACUCUUUGAACCAGCGUCUGAGUCAGGAAACAAGGGUACCACUAGGCUCCAGGACCUGCUCUGUCUGUAAAAUGAGAAGCAACUAGAAUAUCCCUAAAACUCCUCUUAGCUAUAAAAUGUUCUGAUUCAUGACCAAGGGAAGAAAGAAAAUGUGUAUGUAACCAAAUAAAAAUACUUUCUGAUGUGAGCCAAGGAAGGGGACAGAAGUAUUUGGCUUCCUCAUUCAGCCCCACCCUAUAGAAAGUUCUGGCUCUGGCAUGAAGACACACUGGUCUGGUUUCCUCUCGCUUUUAUUUCACAAGAGCCCCCAAAUAUGACAUUUACGAAUGCUCUGAUAGUAGAUCCUAUUCAGGUGAUUGGCCUGGAGGCUGAAACUUUACACAACAGCUUC